GACGAACGCUGGCGGCGUGCCUAAUACAUGCAAGUUGAGCGCUGAAGGUUGGUACUUGUCCCAACUGGAUGAGCAGCGAACGGGUGAGUAACGCGUGGGGAAUCUGCCUUUGAGCGGGGGACAACAUUUGGAAACGAAUGCUAAUACCGCAUAAAAAUUUUAAACACAAGUUUUAAGUUUGAAAGAUGCAAUUGCAUCACUCAAAGAUGAUCCCGCGUUGUAUUAGCUAGUUGGUGAGGUAAAGGCUCACCAAGGCGAUGAUACAUAGCCGACCUGAGAGGGUGAUCGGCCACAUUGGGACUGAGACACGGCCCAAACUCCUACGGGAGGCAGCAGUAGGGAAUCUUCGGCAAUGGACGAAAGUCUGACCGAGCGACGCCGCGGGAGUGAAGAAGGUUUUCGGAUCGUAAAACUCUGUUGGUAGAGAAGAACGUUGGUGAGAGUGGAAAGCUCAUCAAGUGACGGUAACUACCCAGAAAGGGACGGCUAACUACGUG
rnacentral:rRNA from 1 species